rnacentral:rRNA from 1 species
UACGUAGGAUGCAAGCGUUGUUCGGAAUUACUGGGCGUAAAGAGUACGUAGGCGGUUUGAUAAGUCUGAUAUUAAAUACAGAAGCUUAACUUCUGAACUGUAUCGGAAACUGUCAGACUAGAGGACAAUAGAGGAAGUGGGAAUUCUCAGUGUAGCGGUGAAAUGCGUAGAUAUUGGGAAGAACACCAGUGGGGAAAGCGCACUUCUGGGUUGUUACUGACGCUGAGGUACGAAAGCGUGGGGAGCAAACGGG